GACGAACGCUGGCGGCGUGCCUAAUACAUGCAAGUCGAACGAAGCUUUUUUAACUGGUGCUUGCACCGACUUAAACAACUGAGUGGCGAACGGGUGAGUAACACGUGGGUAACCUGCCCCAAAGCGGGGGAUAAUAUUUGGAAACAGAUGCUAAUACCGCAUAACCACAGAAACCACAUGGUUUCUGUGUCAAAGAUGGUUUCGGCUAUCACUUUGGGAUGGCCCCGCGGCGUAUUAGCUAGUUGGUAAGGUAAUGGCUUACCAAGGCAAUGAUACGUAGCCGAACUGAGAGGUUGAUCGGCCACAUUGGGACUGAGACACGGCCCAAACUCCUACGGGAGGCAGCAGUAGGGAAUCUUCCGCAAUGGACGAAAGUCUGAUGGAGCAACGCCGCGUGAGUGAAGAAGGUUUUCGGAUCGUAAAACUCUGUUGUCAGAGAAGAACGUUUGCGAGAGUAACUGUUCGUGCAGUGACGGUAUCUGGCCAGAAAGCCACGGCUAACUACGUGCCAGCAGCCGCCGUAA
rnacentral:rRNA from 1 species